GUGGGGAAUUUUGGACAAUGGGCGAAAGCCUGAUCCAGCAAUGCCGCGUGUGUGAAGAAGGCCUUCGGGUUGUAAAGCACUUUUGGCAGGGAAGAAACAGUGCGUGCUAAUACCAUGCGCGAAUGACGGUACCUGCAGAAUAAGCACCGGCUAACUACGUGCCAGCAGCCGCGGUAAUACGUAGGGUGCAAGCGUUAAUCGGAAUUACUGGGCGUAAAGCGUGCGCAGGCGGCUUUGUAAGACGGAUGUGAAAGCCCCGGGCUCAACCUGGGAAGUGCAUUCGUGACUGCAAGGCUAGAGUGUGUCAGAGGGAGGUGGAAUUCCGCGUGUAGCAGUGAAAUGCGUAGAGAUGCGGAGGAACACCGAUGGCGAAGGCAGCCUCCUGGGAUAACACUGACGCUCAGGCACGAAAGCGUGGGGAUCAAACAGGAUUAGAAACCCGGGUAGUCC
rnacentral:rRNA from 1 species